GGCCCCAUCGUCUAUCGGCUAGGACACGACCCUUUCAAGGUCGCGAGACGGGUUCGAUUCCCGUUGGGGCUA
rnacentral:tRNA from 1 species